rnacentral:lncRNA from 1 species
AAAUUACAACUUGGAAAAGAAAAUCGGGUCGACUUGUGAGAAUUGAAUCAAACCCCAUUUCAAGUCAAGAAAUUGAACGCACUUGUAAACAAAACAUUAAAGCAGUCAGAGAAUGGAAGAAAUCUGAGGCAAAAGUAGAUCCAGAAAUGGCUGAAGAUCCAAGGAGAAAAGUAAUCCUAGUAGGGAAUAAUGAGGUUGCU